GACGGAAGGUGCAAGCGUUGCUCGGAAUCACUGGGCGUAAAGGGUGCGUAGGCGGCCGCGCAAGUCUGGCGUGAAAGCCCCGGGCUCAGCCCGGGAAGGGCGCUCGAAACGGCGAGACUAGAGUACUGGAGAGGGUGGUGGAAUUCCCGGUGUAGCGGUGAAAUGCGUAGAUAUCGGGAGGAACAUCAGUGGCGAAGGCGACCACCUGGCCCAACACUGACGCUGAGGUGCGAAAGCGUGGGUAGCAAACAGG
rnacentral:rRNA from 1 species